rnacentral:rRNA from 1 species
GACGAACGCUGGCGGCGUGCUUAACACAUGCCAGUCGAACGAAGAGCGAUGGAAGCUUGCUUCUAUCAAUCUUAGUGGCGAACGGGUGAGUAACGCGUAAUCAACCUGCCCUUCAGGGGGGGACAACAGUUGGAAACGACUGCUAAUACCGCAUACGAUCUAACCUCGGCAUCGAGGAUGGAUGAAAGGUGGCCUCUAUUUAUAAGCUAUCACUGAAGGAGGGGAUUGCGUCUGAUUAGCUAGUUGGAGGGGUAACGGCCCACCAAGGCGAUGAUCAGUAGCCGGUCUGAGAGGAUGAACGGCCACAUUGGGACUGAGACACGGCCCAGACUCCUACGGGAGGCAGCAGUGGGGAAUCUUCCGCAAUGGACGAAAGUCUGACGGAGCAACGCCGCGUGAGUGAUGACGGCCUUCGGGUUGUAAAGCUCUGUUAAUCGGGACGAAAGGCCUUCUUGCGAAUAGUUAGAAGGAUUGACGGUACCGGAAUAGAAAGCCACGGCUAACUACGUG